GGGGCUAAUCUUGGUUUCUACUUGGAGAACCGUUAGUCGUCUAUGCUAUCCGGGAGGUGUUUGUGACUUCCGUAAUCAAUUGCAAACAUACGUAAAUGGAAAAAACAGAACUGGUGGACUUGCUUCUUUCUUUAAAGGUGCAUUUUCUCCUGCUGCUAUCGCAGCAUAGUCUCGCCUUAUAAUUAGGUUUUAGAGACGUAGCCUUCUCCUAGCGGGAUGAGUACCAAUUGGUCUGCUACACAUCAUUUCUUGAUUUUACUAGAGAAGCGAGAAAUGAUUACCAAAAUCUAGGGUGUAUUUCAGGUUCGUAGGGGAUUUCCUCGUCAUACACUAGCAAUUAUCUUCUCUCGCAAGUUACUUUUUGUUUGUUUUCUAUGGCUUCGAGUACCAAAAUAAACUAUGAUAGUAGAUGUAUGCUUCUAGCCUUCAGGGACGUGGGUUCAAAUCCCACUAGCUCCACCA
rnacentral:tmRNA from 1 species